CUAGGCUCACAGAAUGAAUGGUGGAAAGGAGACUGAGUUCCAUAUCGAACCUGAAUUGACCCUUGAGUUAAUGAUGGCGGCUAAUUAUCUCCACACUUGAGAGCCUGUCUCACCCCCUUCAACUCUUGGGCACAAGUCUUGCUGAAUAAUGAAGACUUGCAAGAUGAUUGUGUUACAGGGGCUUAAAGCCUUCAAGGUGCUGGCAUUUACCUCACAUUUUUUAUACAUCAGAAGUAGAUUGUCUUCUUAAUCAGGUGCUUGCUGCCAGUGGAGGCUGAAGGGGACUGAUGGUUGAACUGAAUGCAGUUAUUACUUAGUCUGUUGUGCUUGUAACUUCACAGGCUUGUUAUACUGCAAAAAGUGUAAAGUAAUGUGUGUGGGUCUCUGUCUUAUCCCCAGUUCUAUCACUGUACUCAAAUGUUUUUCUGAUGUACAGUGUUGCAGGGGUCCUUGCUUGGUUUCAGUUUAUAUGCAACUAAGCUUAGGCCCUACUGUUUCACUGGAGUAGGACUUAGUACUUGGCAGAAUGUGACCUAAAAUUGUAGAUUUAUACAUAGGACGUGGAUAUUUAAGUAGUUGUGCAUUGUUGUAAUUUUUUUUUAUUCAACAUGCAAAAGAUCCAAUAUUUUAUUA